ACAGAGAGGGAGAGAAACAGCACCAAAAACCAAGAGACCUCUUAAUUAGUAAUAACCUGGAAUUUAAACUAUGGGGAAUCAAACUCAUUUGUGAUUUUAAUACAGAACUUCUUUAAUAUGAUUCAACAUAAUGAAUUGUUGGGUAUCUCAAUCCCAUUCCUGCUGGGAUCUUUGCUCACAUUACAAAAACCACAUCAUUGACACUACCAGACAUUGCUGACAGUCUCACGGGAGAGGCCAAGGACUGAAUGGGCCAUGAAGACUGAACUCUCAUCCUUAGAGGUGGGGUUCCUCCUGUAGGAGGAACUCAGGUGGGUGGUUGUGGGAAAGAAAAUUUUGGGAGAAAUUGUCCGUAUUCUGUAGAUGAUGGGCACGUAGCUAUGGCCUCACAGUGAAAUGGAACCAACCUUACUUUUUUAAUUUGGGCUUCACCAUUCUACAGCUUAGUGUUAAGCAAGAGGAGACAUGUACCUGACCUAUAGCGACGAUGAUAGCCAUGUGAUAAAUGUUUGUUGUACACAUUUGACCACCUCAUUUUUCCUCUGUCUGCUAAUCUCUUUCUCCAGGAUUUACAAGCACAUCCCCGGCCCCAAGGCAGGUACCUUUUAAAAAAUCAGUCCACUGGAGCAGUGUUUCCUCUUGAAAUAUUAAUCAUGCUUAUUUCUUAGCGUUUUUCACCAGUAGAUUCCAAAGCGCUUCACACUCUUUAAUGUGUUCAUUUUCACAACAACCCUGUGAGGUAAGGAAGAAAUAUUAUCCCUGUUUUACAGAGGGGGAACUGAGGCAGAAAUGGUAUGUCAACGUUGCAAUAAAAGACCUGCAGCACAGCCAUGGCUGGUGCAGGUUAGCUGACUCAGGCUCCUGGGGCUAAAAAUUGCAAUGUAGAUGUUCGGGCUCAGGCUGGAGCCUGGUCUCUGAAACUCCGCGAGGUGGGAAAGUUUUCAGAGUCUGGGUUCCAGGCUGAGUGUCUAUGCUGCAGUUUUGAGCCUUGAGCCCUGCGAGCCUGUCAGUUAACCCAGGCUCAGACUCGGUGCCACAGAUUUUUUUAUUGCAAAGUAGAUGUACCUAGAGAGGCUAAAUGACUUACCCAAGGUCAUGGCAGAGCUGGGAAUUGAACCCACGUCCUAGGCCAGUGCUCUAACCACUGAACCAUCCUUCCUCUCUCAAAUGGGCAGUUUUCCUCCCAAUAUUAUCCUGGCCUGUGGUGACGGGCAAGAUUCAAGGAUCUCAGGAUGGGCUAGGAAAAUAUUUUCAAGAUCUUAAAAUGUCAGGAUAUUACAACUAAUAUUUCCUGGUUUUAAAGGUCGACAGAUGGGAGAUUUGCAUUCUUUUCCCAUGGAACCCAGCACUCAGUUGUAGCUCUGAAAAGGCCCUUAAAGGCUUUUUUAGGGACCAACCAUUAUAUUAGAGGUGUUUUACUUUUAUUGAAAUAUCUCUUUCAGCCCUGUUCAGCUGGGCUCAUGAUAAUGAAGGCUGCUGACUCUAGAGCUACAGGGAGACAAGAAACAAUCCCAAUGACAUUUAAAAUGGUCUUUAGAAUAGUUUUUCUAAAACAUAUAUGGCAUAUGCAGAAUCAAAGCUGGCAGGAUGUAAAGGUUUUAUUACCAUUCAUCUGAGAUGAUCUGCAGUACUCACAAGUGACAUAGCCAGAAGUGAGUUAGGUGAACAUUCCAACCGUGCUAAUAAAAUCUUUAUAAUGCAACAUCAAUCUUUAAAAAAUUUCAAAGGUUUGAAACAAGUUGAUGAAGUGAAGCAGUAGGGCAGUGAACAUUUGGAAUGGUUCUCCUUUAUGUAGGAAGUGUCUAAUCAGAAUCAAGACUGAAAAAAAUGGCUUGGUUUACAAAAUUUAAACUUCUCAUGCACUUAAUCCAGUGCUUAAUUUGUAAUGAAAGAGGUGCUGGAACUCAAGCAAUUUUUGUGCUUUCAUAACUGAUGUGACAAGUCCAGAGGUGCCAGGGCUAUGAACUGCCAAGCCUAGCUGUGCCGGGGAUCAGCCCUGGCAAGCCCUGGCACAAAUUAAGCACUGUCUUAAUUCUUCUUAAAUACUAGUGCAAAGGGCAGUUUUUAACAAAAUUACUCUAAAACCCAAAAGUCAGAUUGACUGGUUCACUAUCACGGACUCACAUAAUGAAGUAUUGCUAACCUAAGUUUCCCUUUAAAAUUAAAUUCCAGCCAUGUUCUUGAUGAAGAGCCUUCAGAGUACAAAUAGAUUGCUGGGGCUGAAAGUGGCACAAUUGGUAUGGUUUCUAAAACUGUAGUUAUUUGUUCAUAAUCCCUGUUGACUUCAGGCCAGUUUUACACUCUUGUCUGCCACUUCAUUCCCCGCCUAUCAAUCUUCACAUCCCCUGGCACUGGUAGAUUCUUCACCCCUCUGAAGGGGUGAGUAGGCCGUAGUACUCAUCCUGCUAGCCCCCUGAUUUCAAUGGCUCCAAUUCUACAAGGUGCUGUGUGCCCGUGGCACCCAUGGUGCUCAGCACCUUGCAGGAUCAGGACUUACGCUGGCAACAGCAAUACUGCCACCCCAGUGGAUUUAAAAAAAAAACAGACCAAGGGCACCUGAAAAAAGGUGAGAAAUUAGCAAUCCUUGAUUCCCUGGGUGUCCCAUGACAAUCUGCAGGAGCACACUGCCUCAAGAUUUGGAAUGCUUAAUCACUGGCUCCCCACUCCAUUUAAAUGAAGGGGGAGCGAUGGCCAUUAGGAGCAGCACGUCGGCACAGUUUGGUAGUAAUGGCACCCUAGCCUUAUAUUAUUGCCUUCAACCUCUUGAGUUUGUUUAACCCAGGAUCUAGUUAUUACUUCAGAUGCAGGAACCACCUUCAUGUUAUCCGAACUACAUAUUUAUUAUUAUUUUUAGGCUCCUGCUUGUUGACAUUAUCAAUACUAACUGAAGCCCUGUGAUGUGACUUGGUGAAAGCAGUAAAUCAAGUGGCAACACAGCAUGCAGCUUAACCAUGCUUUUGGACUGAAAUGACACUUCAGUUAAAAAAAUUGAACUAUACAAAAUUAACAGCACAUGUAAAAUGGAUUCAAAACUGGCUAACUGGUAGGUUGCAAAAUGUAAUUGUAAACAGGGAAUCAUCAUCAAGCGGGAGUUUUUCUAGAGGGGUCCUGCAGGGAUCAGUUCUUGGCCCUAGAUGAUUUAAUAUUUUUACCAAUGACCUAGAAGAAAACAUAAAAUGAUCACUGAAAAAGUUUGCAGCUGACAAAGAUUGGGGGAGUGAUAAAUAAUGCAGAGGACAGGUCACCAAUGCAGAGCAAUCUGGAUCACUUGGUAAGCUGGGCACAAGCAAACAACAUGUAUUUUAAUACAGUUAAAUGUAAAUGUACACAUCUAGGAACAAAGAAUGUAGGCCAUUGUUACGGGAUGGGGGACUCUAUCCUGGGAAGCAGCAGGUUAUGCUUAUAAGAAGCACACAGGAUCUUUUUCAGGGAAAAAGGCAAUAUGCCGCAUUUAUUGAGAAUACAGCAGCACACACCUACACCCACAUCCGCCCCCCCGCCCCCAUUGAUGUUUAUAGUUACCAGUCCAGAGUUUGGAUGAAUCUAGUGGCCAGCCAGAUUUGUCGCAGAGGGGAGCCGGGCUCUGUCAGUUGCGAUCCGAUGCUCCUGGAGUUGUGGCAAGAUGAACCCAAAGUCCCAUGGCCAAGCACCCUGUUCUUAUAGUCUUUUUUUUCUCUGUUGAAGUCUAUGGAUUUUGCAGUGUCAGUUUGUGACCGGUUACUCCUUAAUUGGUGUUAUCUUUUGAUGUUAACAUUCCAAAACACCUCUGAGAUGGUCAUCCUGUCCUGCUUUCGAUUUAAUUGUCCUGUCUUUAGGCAUGCCAGCCUCCACCUCAGGGUCGUCAAUCUGCCCUUCCUCAAUCAUGGAUGCUUGUUGGUUCUCUGGUGUUGUUAAGUCUCUUCACUCCUCCUUCCUUGACCAUCUGGCUAUAACAAUGGCCUUCACACCUUAUCUUUGCCUGAGGCAUACAUUCCUCAUUCACACAGUCUUUUACAGAGACCUUCAAAGGUAUUCAUUUUGGAAAGGAUUAUAUGGUUACUUACACAACUUAGUUUGCAAUGCAUACAAGAAGCAAGACCUUAUAGCAAAUUUUUAUUAAAGUUAAUGUUUAAAAUCAAAUUUACACAAGCUAAGAGGGAAGGUACUGUACGUCUGGGGUUGGGCUUGGGUUAUGGGGGAUUGCAAGUAUCGGUUACAAAGUUCACGAGGUACAUACCACAUAAGCAGCAUAGAUCCAGAUUGAGUGUGGGAGUUUUUAAAGCGUCAGUGGAUAAAUGGGCUUGGGUACGCCACCCAUGGAAUGUAUUAAGAGUCCAAGCCAGUAUUGGUGAAGAGAAUAAGUACAUGGGUGGGGUGCGUCCCUUGGUCAUCAGGGAAGGAAAUGGGUUAUUUCCCUGGGCGGUGUUCUCGGUUACUCGACCUGGUACUGUUGGUGUGCUGUGAUGUGUUCCGUGUAGAUGUCUCUGGACCACCUGAUGGUGUCGGACAUGAUUAGCUGUCUCAUGAGCCGGGUGUAGCGUCGACUGACUCCGCAAGCUCUCAGUACCAGCUCAUUGUGGGGGUCCCAUGCGCCCAGGGUGCCCACGACCAGGGUAACUCUUGGUGCACCCCGGUCUCUGAGCCCCCUUGACGAGCCUGGCUGCCUGUGGUAUUCAGCCCUUUUCACUGGACACUCUCAGUAAUUACCAAGUCAGCUGCCUCCAGAGAAAUAGUGUACACACCCGCUUACUUGAUUCACAUUUACGAUAAAAGAAAGAGAAGUUUAUUAACAAAGAUAGAGAUUCAAGUGAUACUGAGUAAAGGUAAUAGAAACAGAGAUGGUGACAAAUAAAACAAAAGUAUAACAUGUUUGUGUGAGACUGAACAUAACUUUAGCAGGCUAAAAUCUUGGUCCAAGUUAAAGCAUCUAAAGCAUUCUCCAAGCGUCACCAACCACAUAGCCAGAAUCCAGGCUUCAUGGAUAUGAAAAGUGCAGGCCUUUUUGCUCCUUCAGUGAUGCACCAGUAAGAACUUUCUUUUCCUCCUUUUUAUAGUCCAGACAACUUUUGAACUGUACCCCUUUGAAGUGUAUCCCCAGAUGAAGUUCUUCUCCCCUACUAUUUGUUCUUCGGUGUGCUGAGGUCACACUGUCUUUCUCAUUCUCCUGUUAAUGUGUUUUUCCUGUUGACUUAGUAAGCAAAGGAAGCUUGCUUUGUGUUGAUUUACACAAUGCUGGAUUUACAUCAGAGACCUAGGCAGGCAGGUAAAUCAACAUUCCUUUGUCCUGGGAAAAACUUGUUUAUCUACCCUACCUGGCUACAUAGUUUAAACACAGUUACAUAGUUUAAUACAUACAUAGAGCUUCUUGAAUAAUGCCCGUACAUACAUCUCACAAAGCUUAUAACGACCACCCCGAUAUAAGCUUUCAUUUGACAUCCUACAUGACAUUCUUUAUCGAUAAAUACUGUAACAGCAAUGUAUUAAGUGUAGUGAGUUUGUCAGGCUUGAUAGCAGUUGCUAUUACAUGACAGUGAACCCUUUGCCAGUUGGCAUUGGGGGAUUCUUAGGGUCACACAAAGCCCUCUACUUGGGGGCUGUGGGGCCCAAACCUAAAAGGGAUUUAGAUGCCUAGCACCCACUGAAAUAAUUGAGAGCUAGGUGUCUCAGCCCCUUUGAAGAUCUGGGCCUGAAUCUCCACAUUGGUUCUGCCACUUCCUCCUUCCCUGCCCUCUCUACGCUCCGUACUAACCGAGCUGCACUGCCAACCAUUCUCCCUUGCUGUGGCUGCCCUUAGGACAGUGCUCCAGAAAAGAGAAGUCUUGAGCUAGAUACAUAAAUUUUGUUUCUAGGGGGUGGAGGAAAGAAGAUGUGCUUCCCACCGCCCUUCUUUGUGGCACACCCAGUUUCCACCACCUCACCCCAUGCAGACCCUGGACAUUGUAUGUAUAUACAGCCUGUACAGUGUGUGUGUGUUAAGGUUACUAUGGAAGCAUUAACUCUCACUUCCUGAUGUUUGUAUAUUUAAAUGAAUGACAGGAGUGGCGUUUGGCAUUUUUACUGUGUGUGUAUUUGUUUAAAGAAAAAAGAAACCAC